AACCGACACAGGUGGUCAGGUAGAGAAUACCAAGGCGCUUGAGAGAACUCGGGUGAAGGAACUAGGCAAAAUGGUGCCGUAACUUCGGGAGAAGGCACGCUGACAUGUAGGUGAAGUGAUUUACUCAUGGAGCUGAAGUCAGUCGAAGAUACCAGCUGGCUGCAACUGUUUAUUAAAAACACAGCACUGUGCAAACACGAAAGUGGACGUAUACGGUGUGACGACUGCCCGGU
rnacentral:rRNA from 1 species